rnacentral:RNase_P_RNA from 1 species
CGGGACGCUCGGGCAAUCGCGCGGUGAGAUGUAAUGUCCACCUCGAGGAAAGUCCGGGCUCCACAGCACAGGAUGGUCGAUAACGUCGACUCAGGGUAACCUGCAGGCUAGUGCCACAGAAAAAAGACCGCCUUUUACGAGGUAAGGGUGAAAAGGUGAGGUAAGAGCUCACCAGUAUCUCAGGUGACUGAGAUAGCUUGGUAAACCCCAUUCGGAGCAAGGUCAAACAGAGCAUGAAGUAGGCUGUGCGUCGAAAUGCUCGGGUAGGCUGCUUGAGCUCUACGGCAACGUAGGGCCUAGAUGGAUGAUUGCCACUUGUUGUACAAGUACAAAACCCGGCUCAUAGAGCGUCCCGUCCC